rnacentral:rRNA from 1 species
GUAAGGAAUUUUCGGCAAUGGAGGAAACUCUGACCGAGCAACGCCGCGUGAGUGAUGAAGGCCUUCGGGUCGUAAAGCUCUGUUACAGGGGAAGAACAUACCGGGUAGGAAAUGCCCCGGUACUGACGGUACCCUGCCAGAAAGUCACGGCUUACUACGUGCCAGCAGCCGCGGUAAUACGUAGGUGGCAAGCGUUAUCCGGAUUUAUUGGGCGUAAAGGGUGCGCAGGCGGCCUGUUAAGUCUGAGGUGAAAGCGUGGGGCUCAACCCCAUACAGCCUCGGAUACUGGCAGGCUCGAGUGAAGAAGAGGGAAGUGGAAUUCCAUGUGUAGCGGUAAAAUGCGUAGAUAUAUGGAGGAACACCGGUGGCGAAGGCGGCUUCCUGGUCUUCUACUGACGCUCAUGCACGAAAGCGUGGGGAGCAAAUAGGAUUAGAAACCCUAGUAGUCC